GAUGAACGCUGGCGGUAUGCCUAACACAUGCAAGUCGUACGAGAGUUUUUAACUCUAGUGGCGACGGGUGAGUAACACGUGAGAAUUUGCCUUUAGGAGGGGGAUAACAAUUGGAAACGAAUGCUAAUACCCCAUAUGCUUUUGAGUGAAAUGGAUUUUAUCCGCCUAGAGAGAAGCUCGCGGCUGAUUAGCUUGUUGGUAAGGUAAGAGCUUACCAAGGCGACGAUCAGUAUCUGGUUUGAGAGGACGAUCAGACACACUGGAACUGAGACACGGCCCAGACUCCUACGGGAGGCAGCAGUGGGGAAUUUUGGACAAUGGGGGAAACCCUGAUCCAGCCAUUCCGCGUGUGCGAUGAAGGCCUUCGGGUUGUAAAGCACUUUUGGCAGGAAAGAAAUCGCACGGGUUAAUAACCCGUGUGGAUGACGGUACCUGCAGAAUAAGCACCGGCUAACUACGUG
rnacentral:rRNA from 1 species